rnacentral:lncRNA from 1 species
CUUUAUUAGCCACUAUUUCCUGCAAAGAAUCUCACAAAUGAAUUUGAACAAAGCUAAUGUGCCAGUAUAAUGACAGAUUGCUUUCAGGACUAAUAUCAAGGAACUUUUUUCCCAUCUAGUGAAUGAAUCAUAGUCAUUCAAUUGUGGACUGUUGGACAGAUAUGCGAAGUGCUCUUUGCUUUAAAGCUCUCUGAACAUAAGGAAUGAUCUUAGGUUCAAAAUAUCAUCAAAUAAAAAUACUAUACUGUUACAGAAGCUCAGAUUAGUAUUGAUAUAAGAAGUCCAGACACCGUGUCUUUCAAAAACAGAUAAAAAAAUAUCAGCAUGUAUGCACCAUUUGCCUUUAAUCACAAAGACAUACUGAACAUGCUUGAAAUGCCAAUAGUUUUAUAGAUUGCUGUGCCGUUUACUACUCCUCUGUUCUUCACUUUUUUCCCUUAAGAGAUGAAACCCAGUGCAGCAGCAUGACAGAAGAUACAUUGAACCAGUCAGCAGACCCAUGAAGAGAGAUACUGGACCUUUCAGUAGAAAUUUCACCAGAUGAGUGAUUUUAAACCUGACAUCAACAAUUACAAUGCCCACAGAACCAACUGCAUGUGAAAGGACUAAGGUGAAAAUUCAGAGGUGUCCUGUUGUAGUUCAGGUAUUGUGAAUUUGGACGAACAUGAUUACCACCUGUCUGACCUACUAAUAGGUACUUAAUGAUUCAGGUUCACGUAUAUCAAAGAAACCCAUCAUCAUUAAGUCCU